GGAGAGUUGAGUGCACAGUCACACGACCCGGCCUCAACUGUCGACAACGUCGUCUCACCAGACUGUAACGUAAGAAGAACGCGGAAAAGAGCAUAUCCACAAAAGUGGACGUGACGGGGGUGGAAUUUCGGUGUGUACCACUUCUGGUUUUUCCUUACAGAGUGCAUGUUGUACGGAUGUCACACGAUCCAUUUUCCAGUUUAAAUAUUUUGCUUAGAGUUUGGAACUCAGUUGUCAGCUUAACACAGCUGUGUAUUAAUACGUAUUCUAUAACCAAGUCAGUCUGUCAGUAGCCAAGUCUGUCUGUAGUAGUUACAUCACAAAUAGCUAAAGCACGUCCCAGUUUCCCGCAAUUUAAUUGUUAUUUUUUUAAUUUGUUUUACUUUUCUUUUGUUUUUUUAUCUCUGAUGGGAGGAAUUGAUAUUGUUUAUAGUGCUUUACUCUGUUUAUAAAUAAUUGUCUAACCCAUCAAUGUCUUUAAUUUUUUUUUGCCAGAGAUCUUUUCUCAGAGUAUUAUCUUCGAGGGAAAGUAUAUGGAUCGAGGAUUAUAACAUCCAUUCCAGUGGCAAUAGUUCAUCCUAUCCAUAGCUCGAAAGAAAUGUUGAAGAAUUCUGCAAAGAGCUAAACAGGCCCUUGUGCCUCAAACUGUACCCUGACAUCUGGUCUCUCCUCACCAGGAGAUCAGGUGACCAGUACCAGGCUUAUCUGGCGGUGGAAGGGUUGGCCAUCAAUGACAUUGGCUUUAAGAGCACUUAUCAUUAUUGAUGUGUAAUACAUCACCUGGAAAAUAGACAAUCAGCAGAGCAAGAGUACUAAUUGAUUUCAGGAGAUGAGCUCUUCAUGCUGUGUGAGUUUAUUGUAGAGCUCUGGGUACAUAGCUGCCUGUGUCAGCGGAAUGUACACCAAUAUUUGCACACCCUGGUAGAAUUUCUUGUUACUGUGUAUAUCUCUCUUGAAAAGGGUAAAGCUACACAUGGAAUUUACGGAAGAUUGCUACAAAGGAAUGAAUGGCAAUAGUGUUAUGUUUGUUUUUCUUAAGUCACAUGAGUGCUUUUUCUAAACGCUACAUGAGUGCUUCGAACUCAUUUGACUUGUAUCAUUUUAUAUCUUUCUUAAAAGCAGAGAGGACAUUAUUUAUCUUGAGUGCUCAACAUCUUUAUAUAGCCACGUGUGUGCAGCUAAGGUACAGACAAGAUGAAAGUACUUCUAAUUUCAGUUUAUACGUACAAAAUGAAGAAAGACGAAUUCUAUUUUUGUCGCAACUUGUGAGCGUCAUAACUUUGUGAAAGACUCAAGUUGUUGUAUUGUUUUUGUUUUUUGGCACCUUACAUUUCCAAAACCCUUUGAGUGCUUCAGAUAUAUAAUAUGUUUAUAUACAAUGUGAAUAUUCUACAUUCCUGUGGCCAUUUCUUUUUGAAUUUCUUUAUAAAGCCCAGUCUUUGUAUGUUAUUUCAAUCUGUGUAUUUUUUCCUAUGUAUACCAAACAUGCCUAUUUUAUUUUUGCUAAGAUCCAUGUGCUCUAAUGCUGACUCUUUGCCAGUGUUCUUAUAUCG
rnacentral:lncRNA from 1 species